GAAUAACAGUAGGAUACUGCUGAAACAACACUGUUCUGUCCUGUGCUGUACUGAACCUUUCUGAACUGCCAGGCGUGUGAAGGAAGUGUAGUCCCUGCUUCAGGAGCUGUUGACGGGGAUCCUAAUGAAAUAGAUCAAUACCUCCUUACUGUAGCUCCAUAGGGUAACAGGAUUAGGAGGAGGCUGUGGUUAAUGUCAUCUUUACAGUACCCUAAGGCCCUGCCCAUCUACCACUUUGGCCCCCAGUCAAGUCUGUCUUUAGACUGCCAGUCAGCUGUUCCUGACCUUGGCAUGCCUCUACCAACUUGAAUCAUCGGGAACACAGGAAGGGAACUGGACAUCUCUAAGCCAGGAUGCUUCAUCAGGCACACAAACAUUUGGACUGACUAAAAAUAAACUUUGUUUGUUUGCAAGUUUAUCCAUAUAAUGUGUGUCUGAAAUGGUGUAUUACAGAGGCUGUGAUAAAGCCCUCUAU